UCUGUGGUAGCUGACUUUGUUCGCUUUAUAGGUGAAUGGUGUUGUUCGAAAAUAGGUGAAGUCCUCUAAUUUUAGUGUAAUUCAAACGUAUUUGUUCAAUAACACCAUAGCCUUCCAUCAUAUAAUUAUCACGAAGAGCACUAUUUGAAAGGUUUGUUUUUGAGGAAGCUGCUACUAAUCUAGAUGGUCACUGCACAGCUCCCAAACUCCCCAGCUUAAACCUACCAAAGAAAUGAUAAGCAACUUUCUAAGGAACCUAGGCCAGAUGACUGAUGAAGGUUUGGUAACAAGGUGUGUGGAAAUACAGGUAACUUCUAACCUGCUGAACCAUAACAUCUGAAGACUACUGGAUGGGUCGCUUAUGAUGAAGUACAGCUCGGCACCUGCUCAUCUGAUUUUGUGUUACCUUGGCAGCCUACAUUUCACAACUAAUGAAAAUAUGUUAUGCAGAAGAAAGUAUUGUAUUGGAAAGAAGUCAGAAAUUCCAAGUUUUAAUUAUUGAAGGAAAAAAUCAAUGAAAUUAAACUGUACAAGAUUGAAAUUGGCUGUUUUACGUAGAAAAUUAAAGUCGAAGAGGAUGUAGAAGAAUUCAAAGAAUGUGAUUUAAGAGAGAACAAGCAGAUGACCAAAGCGAAGGUGUCGAGCAUUUAUAUGACAGCCGUUAUAGAUGAUUAUUGCAAAGAGGAUAUCAUCAAGCAAUGAGAUGAAUGACCAUUGUGAAGAGAAAAUCAUCAAGCAUUAAGAUAACUGCCAUUUUAGAGAGGAGAACUUGCAGAAGACUACUGUGAGGUGACAUGAAGAAUUGAGAUGGCUGCCAUUUUGAAGAGGAUAACUUGCAGAUGACCACUGUGGAGAGACAUCAAGCAGCCAUCCCAAAGAGGAACAGCAAAUGACCACUGUGAAAAGACUUCAAGCAUCAAGAUGGCUGCCAUUUUGAAUUUGAAAAAGAGCGGCAGAUGACCAUGACCAUUGUGAAGAGUCCUCAAGCAUUGGGAUGGCUACCAUUUUGAAGAGGAGAACUUGCAGAUGACCACUGUGCGGAGACAUGAAGCAUUGAAAUGGCUGCCAUUUUGGAGAGGAGACCUUGCAGAUGACCACUGUGAAGAGACUUCAAGCCUUUUUUGAAUAGAAACAGCAGAUGACCACUGUUUAGAGAAAGCAGGGGAGUUGCUGCCAUUUUGAGUAGGAGCAGUAGAUGAUCACUGUGUAGAGACUUCAAGCAGCCAUACCAAAGAGGAGCAGAAGAUGACUACUGUGAAGAGUCCUCAAGCAUUGGGGUUACUGCCAUUUUAAAAAGGAGCAGUAAAUUACCACUGUGAAGAGGUGUCAAGCAUUGGGAUGGUUGCCAUUUUACAGAAGAGAUCUUGCAGAUGUCCAAUGAGAGACAAGGCAUUGAGAUGGCUGCCAUUUUAGAGAGGAAAACUUGCAGUUGACCUCUAUGUAGAGACUUCAAGCAGCCAUCCCAGUGAGGAGCAGCAGAUGUCCACUGAAGAGACAUCAAGUAUCCAUCCCAUUUUGAAUAGCAGCAGCUGAUGACCAUAGUGAAGAGACAUCAAGCUUUGGGUUGGCUGCCAUUUUGAAUAGGAGCAGCAGUUGACCACUGUGAAGAGACAUCAAGCAGCUAUCCCGACGAGGAGCAGCAGAUGACCACAGUGAAGAUACAUCAAGCUUUGGGUUGGUUGCCAUUUUGAAGAGGAGCACAUGCAGAUGACCAUUGUGACGAGACACCAAGCAUUGGGAAGGCUCCAUUUUAGACAGACCUGCAUCGACCACUGUGAAGAAAACGAAGCAUUGAGAUGACUGCCAUUUUUAGAGAGAAACACAAAUUAUUAUAG